CCUACGGGGGGCAGCAGUGGGGAAUAUUGCGCAAUGGGCGAAAGCCUGACGCAGCCACGCCGCGUGAGUGAUGAAGGCCUUCGGGUUGUAAAGCUCUGUCGGGAGGGACGCGGUACCUCGCAAGAAAGCACCGGCUAACUCUGUGCCAGCAGCCGCGGUAAUACAGAGGGUGCAAGCGUUGCUCGGAUUUACUGGGCGUAAAGCGUACGCAGACGGUGAGAAAGGUCGGAUGUGAAAGCCCCGGGCUCAACCCGGGAACUGCAUCCGAAACCAUCUCGCUAGAGUAUGGGAGAGGGAAGCGGAAUUCCUGGUGUAGAGGUGAAAUUCGUAGAUAUCAGGAGGAACACCGGCGGCGAAGGCGGCUUCCUGGCCCAUACUGACGUUCAGGUACGAAAGCGUGGGUAGCAAACAGGAUUAGAUACCCUUGUAGUC
rnacentral:rRNA from 1 species